rnacentral:rRNA from 1 species
GACGAACGCUGGCGGCGUGCUUAACACAUGCAAGUCACGGGGGCCCGCAAGGGCAACCGGCGAACGGGUGCGUAACACGUGAACAACCUGCCCUCGUGUGGGGGAUAGCCGGGCUAACGCCCGGGUAAUACCGCAUACGGUCAUCGGGAGGAGUCUCCUGGUGAAGAAAGCUCCGGCGCACGGGGAGGGGUUCGCGGCCUAUCAGCUAGUUGGUGCGGUAACGGCGCACCAAGGCGACGACGGGUAGCUGGUCNGAGAGGAUGGCCAGCCACAUUGGGACUGAGAGACGGCCCAGACUCCUACGGGAGGCAGCAGUGGGGAAUCUUGCGCAAUGGCCGAAAGGCUGACGCAGCGACGCCGCGUGUGGGAGGACGCC